GGUGGAUGCGUGGGACCUGAUCUGGUAGUAGCCAAGCGAUGGGGUGACGCAGGAAGGUAGCUGGGCCAGUCAGUGGUUGUACUGGUGUAAGCCUGUAGGGCGAACGGUAGGCAAAUCCGCCGUUCAUCAAGCCUGAGAGGUGAUGCGUAGCCGAUUGAGGCGAAUUCAGUGAUCCUAUGCUGCCGAGAAAAGCCUCUAGUGAGUUGUUACACGGCCCGUACCCCAAACCGACACAGGUGGUCAGGUAGAGAAUACUAAGGCGAUCGAGAUAACUAUGGUUAAGGAACUCGGCAAAAUGCCCCCGUAACUUCGGGAGAAGGGGGGCCCCUGCCGGUGAUGGAACUUGCUUCCUGAGCUGGUGUGGGCCGCAGAGACCAGUGAGAAGCGACUGUUUACUAAAAACACAGGUCCGUGCGAAGUCGUAAGACGAUGUAUACGGACUGACGCCUGCCCGGUGCUGGAAGGUUAAGAGGACCGGUUAGCCAGUAAUGGCGAAGCUGAGAAUUUAAGCCCCAGUAAACGGCGGUGGUAACUAUAACCAUCCUAAGGUAGCGAAAUUCCUUGUCGGGUAAGUUCCGACCUGCACGAAUGGCGUAACGACUUCUCAGCUGUCUCAACCAUAGACUCGGCGAAAUUGCAUUACGAGUAAAGAUGCUCGUUACGCGCGGCAGGACGAAAAGACCCCGGGACCUUCACUACAGCUUGGUAUUGGUGUUCGGUUCGGUUUGUGUAGGAUAGGUGGGAGACUGUGAAGCGGUGACGCCAGUUACUGUGGAGUCGUUGUUGAAAUACCACUCUGAUCGUAUUGGAUACCUCAACCUCGGACCAUGAUCUGGUUCAGGGACAGUGCCUGGUGGGUAGUUUAACUGGGGCGGUUGCCUCCUAAAAUGUAACGGAGGCGCCCAAAGGUUCCCUCAGCCUGGUUGGCAAUCAGGUGUCGAGUGCAAGUGCACAAGGGAGCUUGACUGUGAGACUGACAAGUCGAGCAGGGACGAAAGUCGGGACUAGUGAUCCGGCACCGGCAAGUGGAAGCGGUGUCGCUCAACGGAUAAAAGGUACCCCGGGGAUAACAGGCUGAUCUUCCCCAAGAGUCCAUAUCGACGGGAUGGUUUGGCACCUCGAUGUCGGCUCGUCGCAUCCUGGGGCUGGAGUAGGUCCCAAGGGUUGGGCUGUUCGCCCAUUAAAGCGGCACGCGAGCUGGGUUUAGAACGUCGUGAGACAGUUCGGUCUCUAUCCGCCGCGCGCGUAAGAAACUUGAGGAAGGCUGUCCCUAGUACGAGAGGACCGGGACGGACGAACCUCUGGUGUGCCAGUUGUUCCACCAGGAGCACCGCUGGUUGGCUACGUUCGGAAGGGAUAACCGCUGAAAGCAUCUAAGCGGGAAGCCUGUUCCAAGAUGAGGUUUCUCACCCCCUCGAGGGGGUAAGGCCCCCGGCAGACCACCGGGUUGAUAGGCCAGAACUGGAAGUACAGCAAUGUAUGCAGGUGACUGGUACUAAUAGGCCGAGGACUUACCACA
rnacentral:rRNA from 1 species